rnacentral:rRNA from 1 species
UUAGAUACCCUGGUAGUCCACGCCUUAAACGAUGUCAACUAGGUGUUGGGAAGGAGACUUCUUUAGUACCGCAGCUAACGCGUGAAGUUGACCGCCUGGGGAGUACGGUCGCAAGAUUAAAACUCAAAGGAAUUGACGGGGACCCGCACAAGCGGUGGAUUAUGUGGAUUAAUUCGAUGCAACGCGAAAAACCUUACCUACCCUUGACAUGUCAGAAAGAUUGCAGAGAUGCGAUUGUGCCCGAAAGGGAAUCUGAACACAGGUGCUGCAUGGCUGUCGUCAGCUCGUGUCGUGAGAUGUUGGGUUAAGUCCCGCAACGAGCGCAACCCUUAUCAUUAAUUGCCAUCAUUUAGUUGGGCACUUUAAUGAGACUGCCGGUGAUAAACCGGAGGAAGGUGGGGAUGACGUCAAGUCCUCAUGGCCCUUAUGGGUAGGGCUUCACACGUAAUACAAUGGCGCGUACAGAGGGUUGCCAACCCGCGGGGGGGAGCUAAUCUCAGAAAGCGCGUCGUAGUCCGGAUUGGAGUCUGCAACUCGACUCCAUGAAGUCAGAAUCGCUAGUAAUCGCGGAUCAGCAUGUCGCGGUGAAUACGUUCCCGGGUCUUGUACACACCGCCCGUCACACCAUGGGAGUGGAAUCUGCCAGAAGUAGUUAGCCUAACCGCAAGGAGGGCG